GAGAGGGGUGCUGGAAAGAGAAAACCGCUGUGGUGUUCACUGGAUUUUAUAGACACGCUUGAGGAAGUGGUGUCUGAUUUACGUAGGGCCCACAGAUUGGUUGGAUCAGGUGUGAAAUUUACAUAGCGCUUGGGGAAGGCUGGCCACCCCACCGUAAUCUUAUUAUGCAAAUGGACUUUCCACUUGGGCGGCGCCAUGUUGUCUGCUCCUUACUAUCCACGUGGCUGGCAAAGAGAAGGGAGCAUGAAGCUGUCAUUUUGAACAUGCCUAGUCCCAGAGAUGCAUGCGGGGAGAACUCUAUGUGAAGGUGAAGGCAGAGAUGCUUCAUUAAGCCAAGGAAUGCCAAAGGUGGCCAGCAAACCACCAGAAACCAGGCAAGAUGCAUGGAACAGAUUCUGUCUCGUAGCUCUCAGAAGGAACCAACCCUGCCAUCGCACAUUGAUUUUGGACUUCUGGCUUCCAGAACUGUGUGGGUUUGUCAUCCAGCGAGGAGAUGAGGAGAAAGUGCUGGGCCACUCCACUGGAGAAAUUGGAGACCUUUCUUCUGGCUGUGUCUAGGGAGCCAAGAGAGUGAGAGAAAACUCUUUGAGGAAUUGGCUCAGACAGAGGAGGGAGACAAGGUACCACGUUAACAACAGGACUGAAAUUUCGCCCAGAGUACAGAGAGCUCAGCAGAUUCCUGGCAUUUCUGAAAAACAAUCCCUUGGGGUUGAAUCAAAUUAAAUGCUUUAGGAAAAAAAGUUAUGAUAUUCAAGAGAAAUAAUGUGGCUUAACAACUGAAGUUCCACUUCUGAUGGACCUGAGAAGCCUUGCAAAUGACGUUUGAUUUUCACACUCUUUGAAGAGACAACAGAUUUCAUUGUGCAGGGGAGAAGCUGCCCAAGUGGACUUCUGGAGUUCUGACUACUUUGGGAGAUCCAUUGACUGAAAUGGAAGAAAAUAAUUCUAAAAUUUGUAUGGAACCACAAAGACUGCUAAUAGCCAAAGCUAGUUUGAACAAGAAGAACAAAUCUGGAGGCCUCACACUUUCUGAUUUCAAAAUAUAUUACAAAGCUACAGUAGUAGCAUAAAAACAGAUGCAUAAACCAAUGGGUAGAAUAGACAGCCCAGAAAUAAGCCCACUUACAUGUGGUCAGCUAAGUUUUAACAAGGGUGCUAAGAAUACAUAAUAGGCAAAUGAUAGUCUCUUCAAUCAAGUAUGGAGAAAAUUGGAUAUCUACAUGCAAAAUGAUGAAACUGGACCAUUUUCUUGCACCAAAAAAUCAACUAAAAUGGGCUAAAGGCUUAAUUGUAAGACCUGCAAUCAUAAAACUCCUAGAAAAAAGCAUAAGGGAAAAGCUUCUUGAUAUUGGCCUUGGCUAUAAUUUUAUGAAUGUGACACUAAAAGCACAGAGAACAAAGGCAAAAUAGAAGACAGGGACUACAGCAAACUAAAAAGCUUCUGCACAGCAAAGGAAACAGUCAAGAAAAUGAAAAAGCAUCUAAUGGAAUGGGAGACAAUAUCGGCAAACCAUACAACUGAUAAAGGGUUAGUAUUAAAAAUACAUAAAGAACGCCGACAGCUCAAUAGCAAAAACCAAAUCAAACCAAACCAAGCAAGCAACCAAUCAAACCAAAAGCCCCAAAUAACCCUUGGGCAAAGGAACUGAAUAGACACUUUUCCAAAGAAGAUAUAUAAGUGGCCAACAGGCGUAUGAAAGUGUUCCACAUCUCUCAUCAUCAGGAAAAUUCAAAUCAAGACCAUAAUGAGAUAUUGCCUCAUCCCUGUUAGAAUGGCUAUUACAAAAAAACCCGGAAGAUAGGUGUUGGCAAAGAUUUGGGGAAAAGGAAAUUCAUAUACACUGUCGGUGGGAAUUGGUGCAGCCACCAUGAAAAACAGUAUGGAGGUUCCUCAAAAAAUUAAAAGUAGAACUAUCAUAUAUAUGAUCUGGCAGUCCCUCUCCUGAGUAUGUAUUCAGAGGAAUUGAAACAAGGAUCUUGAAGAGAUAUCUGCCCUCCCACGGUAAUUGCAGCAUUACCUCAAUAGCCAAGACACAGAAGCAACCUAAAUGUCCAUGGAUGGAUGAAUGGAUGAAUAAAAUGUGGUCUGUAUGUACAAUAAAAUAUUAUUCAGUCUUAAAAAGGAUGAAAAUCCUGCUAUUUGUGCCAGUAUAAAUGAACCUAAACUGAAGGGCACUAUGCUAAGUGAAGCAAACCAGAUAGAAGGACAAAAGCCAUAGGAUCCCACUUAUAGGAGGAAUUGAAAAUAAUGCAAUUUGUAGAAGCUGAGAGUAGAAUGGUGGUUGCCAAGGGCUGGUUUGGGGUGGGGGUGGGAAGACGGGGAGAUAUUAGUCAAAGGGUGUAAAGUUUCAGUUAUGCAGGAUGAAUAUGCUCUAGAGAUCUACCAAACAGCAUAUUGCUUGUAGUAAAUACUGUGUUGUAUACUUCAUAAUUUGCUAAGUAGGUAGAUCAUAUGUUAAGUGUUCUCUCUGUCUGUCUGUUUCUCUCUCUCUCUCUCACACACACACACAUACACACACACGCACACAAACACACACAAUGACAAAAUGUGUGGAAGGAAACUUUUGGAAGUGAUGUGUAUGUUUCUGGCACAGAUUGUGGUGAUGGUUUAAGGGGUAUAUACUUACUUCUAUAGUCAUCAAUAUGUAUUCAUUACAUACAUAUACCUUUGUGUAUAUCAAUAAUACCUCAAUAAAGUGGCUUAAAAUUGGAG
rnacentral:lncRNA from 10 species